rnacentral:rRNA from 1 species
UACAGAGGGGGCAAGCGUUGUUCGGAAUUACUGGGCGUAAAGGGCGCGUAGGCGGCCUGUUAAGUCGAACGUGAAAUCCCCGGGCUCAACCCGGGAACUGCGUCCGAUACUGGCAGGCUUGAAUCCGGGAGAGGGAUGCGGAAUUCCAGGUGUAGCGGUGAAAUGCGUAGAUAUCUGGAGGAACACCGGUGGCGAAGGCGGCAUCCCGGACCGGCAUUGACGCUGAGGCGCGAAAGCCAGGGGAGCAAACGGG